GAUCUUGUGGUGCAACGGUUCAGCACACGCUUUCGAAAAGGUGAGAUCUGGGUUCGAAUCCUAGCUGACGCA